rnacentral:lncRNA from 1 species
ACUGUGAAGAUCUCGCACCAGGGUGAUGGAAAUGCUGCUGCUCUGGCUGAUCAGCAGCGUGGGUGGGAUGGGGUGCAAGUCCAGGGGUGGAGAAGGCAUUUGAAAGGCUCAGAAAGGCAAAGCCAUUGGUCUCAAGGCUUUGCUUUGAGCAUUUGGAUGUGCUCCAGAGUGGUCUACAGAGGGGAAAUGGGGCAGAAACAGAGGUUUGGUGUCUGCUGUGUUGCAGAUGGUUGAUAUACCUCAGCUAAAGCUCAGCACUUUCACUGGUGGUGGGGGGCAGAGCUCAGAGCCACAGGAGAGGAGCAGCUCUGGUCAGAGCCACAGGAGAGGAGCAGCUCUGGUCAGAGCCACAGGAUGGCAGCAGCUCUGGUCAGAGCCACAGGAGAGGAGCAGCUCUGGUCAGAGCCACAGGAUGGCAGCAGCUCUGGUCACCGUGAAGGGUCACUGACCUCCUGCAGGGCUAUUGAUUAUGGCCAUGAAAAAAAAAAAAAAAUAUCACAGUUUUGCUUUUGAAUGUUCUCUUGCAGGCCCACAACUGAAGGGUAAAGCUGACUCCCAGCUGCCGCCACUCCGGAUUUUCCACCUCGCUGCCUGGCUCUAAGAGGAAUUGAGGAGAGCGAACACGCCGUGUGGCGCUUGCCGGUGGCCUUGCGAAAGGCAGAGUUUGAUUUUUGGAGCAGCGCAAUGUCCGGGUGGAUGGAGUCCUCUCCACGUGCACCUUCCCUUUCUGAAGCUGUGCUCAGCCCGGUAUUUCAAACUGCCACCUGGGUGCCAGGGAAGCCGGUGUAUAACAACCGCGUUGCUGAAUUCAGAGUAAGAUUGAAUAACCAAGCGCGAACAAGAGCUCCGUCUCUCGAGCGCUCGAUCCUGGCUCUGAGUGAAGGCAGAGGGAAGGAAUCCACCCACUGCCAGCUGAGGAACAGCAAUGAGCUGACCCUGCCAGGCCCAGCCACACAGAAAAUACACCCUGACUGCCAGGGGCACUGCACGGGGCAGAAGGGAGAGCAGCAGCCCCGGGUGAGCAGCCACUGCCAGAGGCACUUGGUUAACCCUAACAACUAUUCUUAUAAACUUCGGCAUUGCAUUGCCCAAGUUCAUGUUCAUAAAGAUUAUACAUAUUCAAGCGAAAUUUUGAAUUUUUUUUUUUUUUUUUUUUUUCCCCCCCCCCCCCCCCCCCCCAAUUUUUAAUUUUUUUUUUUUUUUUUUUUUUUACACGUUCUGGGAGUUCUUUUUCUUGGUUCGACCCAUCGAGCAGGUGCAGAAAUCAUGAUAUUUGAAGGGUUAAGGGCCCUCUUCACAUCCACUCUUCAAAUAUUAUCUGACCACAUGGGUGAUUUUAACCACUUUAAACCAACAUCAGCUAUUUCGCAAAUAUGUCUGAGUCACUCUCAUUAUUUUCAGUUAGUUCUGCAAAAGUUAACGUUACAAUGCACAGAAAUUAGAUCCACUUUAAUAUUUUUUGAAAGCCAAAACUACAACAUGCAUCCAUCACACUGUCCACAAACUAAAAUAUCAUCCAUAAAUUAUGUUCUGAGGAUAGGAGCUAGACAGGGGGGCCAGGAUGGCCACAAAAAGCUGACAAAUUAAACUAUUUCAAAAGCAGUUAAAAGUGAUUACAAACUCUACUGUAUCAAAAUUGCUGUGAUUAAUGAUCAUUUGCCAGAACCAAUAGAUAACAGCCAACAACUACAUAGUUGUUUACAACUUUGGCUUCAACCAGGAGGGGAAAAAAGAAAACCACCAAAAAAAACCCCACAAAUAAAACAAAGCAAAACAAAACAACAAAGCGAAACAAAAGAAAAGCAAAAACAAAAAAACAUGUUAGUUAAGUAGGUCUGGGUUUUUAAGAGACUCAGGUUUCCUUGCUCUCAGAAAAGGCAAAAAAAAAUCCUGUUUGUGAAAAGUUGGAGGCUUCCUUUCACGACAUUGUCGAUGAAAUCUCGAUUGGGUUCGGUUCUCUGUAACUUAAACUACAGAAAAAAGUUCUCCUCAUAAGAGAGGUUCUGUAACUGGCUCGCAUCUCCCCACCAAGGACGCCCCAGGCCUGGCACUGUCCCAAAUCCAGAUUUCUGUGCAUUCUGCGGAGUGACAAAACGCACGGUUUAAAUCCUUGGUGAAGGAUUCCCGCCCUCUUUGCAGAGGUUUCCAAAUUUGAGUGACGGAGUUAGAAUCACCGGUGUGUAGUUAAAUAGAAGUGUGUGGUUUCACACGGUGAAGAGUUUGCUGUUUGGGGUUUUAAAAUACGAUAAUAGGUGUGGGAGCAAGGUGAAGCCUCUUGGGCAUUGUCUCUUUCUUCCUUCUUGCUCCUGCUUCUUAAUUUCUGGCGGGAGUUUUGGUUGGAUAGUUAGUGCUGCACCGCGGGUCACAGGAGUUUGGUUAUCGGGGCAAAAGUAUAAAUAAUACAGGUGUUAGUUUUUAAUUGGAUAAUUAGGUUUUCAAAGACCUCGUGACUAGCUAGAGUCGUUUUCAUUUUUUGCUCGCUUUUAGCAGGUAGCUAGAAGACGCCGCAGAACCCUCUUAGGUGAGAUUUGAUAAACGGCCAAGCCUGAGCAAGAGAUCCGCCUCUGGAGGGUUCAAUCCUGGCUCUGAGCGAAGGCGGGAAGAGCAGCAGGCUGUCAAACAAAGCCCUCAGCCCCGCGCUCGUCAGCUCCCUGCUCACUUUGGGGAGAUCGCGUCGCUUCGCUCCGGCUGGGAUUUGCCGGUCAGCCCGGCGCAGGGCGACGCUAAGCGGGGCUUAGCGGGUCUCUCCGGCAGGUCUGAAACGCCAAUCUUAGGAAGGUAGGGUUUUAGGUUACCUGGCUGAAAACAGAAGUCAGGAGGGGGUAGUUAUCCGAAACUUAAAUAAUUGAUUGUCGUUUCGUGUUUGCUUACCUGCGCUGACAGUGGGAAAAGAAGAAACCAGGAACAUGGACAAUGCAACCAGAAACCCAUUCUUUGGAAAACUGGACUAUGCCCAGAAAUCAUUUGUAUUGUCAGUGAUAGAAAAGGCCAGGAGUUCAGGGUGAGGAAGACUCGCCUUACUUCCUCCUUUUAAGACCCCUCCCCACCAAAACGACCCCAGACUUAAUUUAAGAAGUCAAUCGCGCAGCCUAAUAGCUAUUCUAGGUAAUUACCACAGGAAGGAUGGGAGGGGCUGUUAUUAUGAAUAUGUAUCUGUUUGAACCCUCUGCUAAUUAAUAGACUCUGUGAUCACCUGUGAUUUCGCAGUGUGUAUUAGAGGAUCGCCUCACGCUGCUGCCCAGCGCUGAGUAAACACACACUCUCUUUGGAAAACUGGACUAUGCCCAGAAAUCAUCUGUAUUGUCAGUGGUAGAAAAGGCCAGGAGUUCAGAGUAAAGAAGACUCGCCUUACUUCCUCCUUUUAAGACCCCUCCCCACCAAAACGACCCCAGACUUAAUUUAAGAAGUCAAUCGCGCAGCCUAAUAGCUAUUCUAGGUAAUUACCACAGGAAGGAUGGGAGGGGCUGUUAUUAUGAAUAUGUAUCUGUUUGAACCCUCUGCUAAUUAAUAGACUGUGUGAUCACCUGUGAUUUCGCAGUGUGUAUUAGAGGAUCGCCUCACGCUGCUGCCCAGCGCUGAGUAAACACACACUCUGUAACUCUAAACUGUUAGAGAGUCUUUCGUCAGUCGCAGUUGAGUACCGGUGCUGGACCAACACUCGUAUUUUGGCAGUUCAGGUCGCUCUGUCGUUUCUGCGGCUCUGCACGGAGCGUUCCCAGCAGAGAGCUGGUCCAGCCUGGGGGCUGGCCGGCAGCGGGGUGUUCUCGGAUCAAAGCAGAGCAGGAGCGCCCUUGGAGCGCGCCCGGGCUGGCGGCACCGGUUCGGUCACUGCCGGGCUCGACCCGGUUCUGCGCGGUCCGUUCACAAACUGCGGUACCACGCACAGCCCGCUAGGGGAGAGACCGCAAAGCGCCGAUUUCCAGACCUCAAACCCGGGCGCAGCCCUUAAACCGGACCCUGCCGGUGGGGUUAGGCUCCCUCCCUGCGGUCCGAACCUGCUUCCAGCCGAACCGAGCUCAGCGGGACCGCGGCGCCGGCGAACCCACGGCGGGUUCAGCGGUCCUGGCGCUUUUUUAAUCGGGAGCGAAAGCUGUCUCGGCACCUCCCGAGCCGUCAGAAG